UUUUUUUAUUUUUAAAAUCUGGGUAAACUACAUUAGUAGUUCCUUUACCAUGAGUUCUUUUUGUCACUGAACUAUAAGAAAUUACAAAAUAAUCACUCAACUUUUUUUUGUCACCCAACUAUAUUGUAUUUUUGGGUGUUUUCAGUAUUACAUUAGCCAACGCCCAACGCCCAACGCCCGACGGGUGAUUGAGUUGAGCCCUAAUACUGUCAAGCUCUAGCUCAACUUGAAAUUUGGAGCUCAAUACUCGACUCAAACUUGAUUGAACAUCUAUUUUUGAACUUGAUCUCGACUCAAGAUAUAGUUGAGCUCAAGCUCGAUUAUCAAUUUUUGUACUCAUGCUUCGAACUUGAGCUCGGUUCAGUCAUUAAGCUUAAGGUUAAUAAUAUAUAUUAAUGGAAAAAGUAUAUGUAGAAGCCCAAAUUUGCUCGAGCCCUACUAGCAAAACAAACUUCAGCCCAAACGGCCAAUUACAUUACAAAAUUAAUUGGACCAGCCCAAAUACAAACAAUAGGCCCAAAUACAGCCCAAACCCAAUGAAAAACUAGGGUUUCAGAACCCUAGUUUCCCCCAUGUGCAUCGUACACCUCUGCAGUACCCACCCCUCUGCCACCGCCGUUCGCUACGUCCCAUCCGCACCUGCCUCUGACGUCGCGCCGCUCGUCCAUCACCCUGCAAACACACAACACAAGCAGAAGGAGACAAGACCAAAAUUUUUAUUUUCUUUUGGCUAUAAAGCCGAUUUGUAAGAAACGGAAAUGGGGGGGACUUUUCUUGGAUUUUUUUCUCUUUCGACAAAAGCCGAACAUUGUAAAAGGGAGACUUUUUACGAGCAUUCAGAAAUAAAAAAAGAACAGAAGUUUUAAAGGUUGAAUUUUUACUGUUUUCUUUUAAUUUUUUUAUUAUUUACUUAUUUUACAAUUUCGUUUUAACGAAAAUAGCAAAAAAAAAAAGGAAAAGAGUGCACCUGAAUCGCUGUGGCUCCGUCGACGGAGGUCAUCUCGCCGUCGUCGGAAUCGGGUUUAAAAAUGAGGUGCAAGGCUCUUCGUUCCCUCCAGUCGAAGCCCGACCUCAUAGCCUGCCUAGAACCGGGCUUUUAAAGCCCUACAUCACGCUUCGUCGGCCGUCAGUUUAAUGGCGGUGCGGUGGACGGAUGAACGGCGGUGAGAAGUCCAACCGUCGGAAGGCAAAGGGGGAGAGUUGAGAGGAUGAAAGCUUUUUUUAACAGAAUAAAAGAAAAGUUUUUUUUAUUAAAUCUGGCAUUUUAUAGAAGACACGAAACGGCGCCGUUUAAGCCCUCUUCAACCCGCGCGGUGACCCGACCCGGGGAGGAUCCGCCCGUUUUCUUUAAAGGGUAUAAUU
rnacentral:lncRNA from 1 species